UUUUUUUUUUUUUUUAACUCAAUGUGUUAAUAAAGUGGCUGUAAUGGGAGCCUGGAAGGUAGAGGCAGGCAUUCUGGAAUUCAAGGUCAUCCUCAACUACUAACCAAGUUCCCCAGCCUAAGACCGAUCAAGUAAGAUCAAGGUGUAGGCAGGGAGAGGGGCGUCGGGAGUAGGGGGGACCACACACACUCGCCUUCUAGGCCCCAGACUCCAACAUCCGUUCUUGCACUAGGUCCACAUGCACCACACACGCCGCAAAAUACAAAUCAAUGCGGUCCACAACCCAUCCAAAACAACACAUCCAUCCUUGAAGCCUUAAAUCGUACACAGCCCAUUCUAAUUUACUGCGUAUAGGGCAAGUCCAUGCAUCUGGUAGUUUGUAAAUGUAUGCUCUCUAAUGGAUACACUAUACAGGAUAUACUAUAGAGUCUGUACAAGGCCUAGGUGAAACUAUUAAUAGCCCAGACUAAAAGGGGCACUCGCGGACACACACACACGGUGAGAAGAAAAACUGCAGCGGGGACAAAGCCUCCAUCUACAAGCGGCGGCGCGCCUCUGCAGCACACGAGGCUACAGACCUGAACCAGGGCUCGCCGGCGGGGUCCUGGGGCCGGGCUCAGAUCAGAAUCGCCUCGGUAAUCAGCGGCUGGGACGGACCCGGCCUCGUCUAUCUGAUCAAUUCAUCACUUCUGAGCGCCGGGCCCGCAGGACCGAUCCGGGAACCUCGGGAACCGCGGCGUCGCCACCGCCCAGAGGGCCUCACUGCACAGCGCCCCACCCAGGGGGCUUCGCAGGAGGGCUGCUUUUCAUUUCGGGGCGGCCCGGCGGGGCGGGGGUCACGACCCGAUCAAAUAAGAUCAAGGUGUAGGCGAGGGGAGGGGCGUGGGGAGGACACACACUCGCCUUCCAUGCUGCAGACCCGCGCGCACACACUCGCACAUCCGUACUCGCACUCGGCCCACAUGCACCACACGCAGCACACAACACAACCCAAAACUACCCACCACCCCAGCCGCGCUCCCACUC
rnacentral:lncRNA from 1 species